rnacentral:rRNA from 1 species
UACGUAGGGUGCGAGCGUUGUCCGGAAUUACUGGGCGUAAAGAGCUCGUAGGUGGUUUGUCGCGUUGUUCGUGAAAACUCACAACUCAAUUGUGGGCGUGCGGGCGAUACGGGCAGACUGGAGUACUGCAGGGGGAGACUGGAAUUCCUGGUGUAGCGGUGGAAUGCGCAGAUAUCAGGAGGAACACCGGUGGCGAAGGCGGGUCUCUGGGCAGUAACUGACGCUGAGGAGCGAAAGCGUGGGGGAGCGAACAGG